GCGGACGUGGCGAAACUGGUAGACGCAAGAGACUUAAAAUCUCUCAGCCUUUGGCUAUACGGGUUCGACCCCCGUCGUCCGCACCA
rnacentral:tRNA from 4 species